AGUCAAGUAAUUAAGUGCAUGUGGUGGAUGCCUUGGCAGUCAGAGGCGAAGAAAGACGUGAUAGCCUGCGAAAAGCUCCGGGGAGGCGGCAAAUAUCCUGUGAUCCGGAGAUGUCUGAAUGGGGAAACCCACCGGCUAUAAGGUCGGUAUCAUAAACUGAAUACAUAGGUUUAUGAGGCGAACGCGGAGAAGUGAAACAUCUCAGUAUCCGUAGGAAAAGAAAUCAAUUGAGAUUCCCUCAGUAGCGGCGAGCGAACGGGGAACAGCCCAUUAAGUCAUAUCAGUUUUAGUGGAAUGCUCUGGGAAGUGCAACCAUAGUGGGUGAUAGUCCUGUACACGAAAGGGCUGAUAUGAUGAUGUCGAGUAGGGCGAGGCACGUGAAACCUUGUCUGAAUAUAGGGGGACCAUCCUCUAAGGCUAAAUACUC
rnacentral:rRNA from 1 species